GAUGAACGCUGGCGGCGUGCCUAAUACAUGCAAGUCGAGCGAACGGACGAGAAGCUUGCUUUUCUGAUGUUAGCGGCGGACGGGUGAGUAACACGUGGAUAACCUACCUAUAAGACUGGGAUAACUUCGGGAAACCGGAGCUAAUACCGGAUAAUAUUUUGAACCGCAUGGUUCAAAAGUGAAAGACGGUCUUGCUGUCACUUAUAGAUGGAUCCGCGCUGCAUUAGCUAGUUGGUAAGGUAACGGCUUACCAAGGCAACGAUUCAUAGCCGACCUGAGAGGGUGAUCGGCCACACUGGAACUGAGACACGGUCCAGACUCCUACGGGAGGCAGCAGUAGGGAAUCUUCCGCAAUGGGCGAAAGCCUGACGGAGCAACGCCGCGUGAGUGAUGAAGGUCUUCGGAUCGUAAAACUCUGUUAUUAGGGAAGAACAUAUGUGUAAGUAACUGUGCACAUCUUGACGGUACCUAAUCAGAAAGCCACGGCUAACUACGUG
rnacentral:rRNA from 1 species